GUUAGUAUCACCUGUGCUGUGCACUUUGCUCCGGGUGCCUUGGGUCUGGCCUCUGACCGGAAGGCCAGGAGAGGCCACCCGAAUUUGCAUUUCUGGAUGCUCUUACUGGACAGGGAUGGGCCUGAGAAGUCUUUAGUGCCCCUCUGGGUAACACCAUGCUGAGCUCUCUGAAGAGGACACAAAAGAGAACAAGAAUGUGGGUAACGACCACAAAGAGACAAGGACUAGCUGGAGGAGAGACUGCCAGUGCUCACACUGUAACUGGAGUGCUCUGAGCAAAACGCAUCGCAAACUGAGCAGAGCAGCGGCCUGUAGCUGCGGCGGGGAGCCCACAGGAGAACAGCUCAGGGGGGAAGGAUGAAGCUGGCUGGCCGAGCAUCCUGCUUUGUUGACGCACCGGUGGAUUUUUGCUUCUGGUCGUCAUUUCGGCUCCUGGUCUCCAAUCCAACAAGAGGCCUCUUAUCAACAGCAGCAGUCCUACUGCCCAGCAGACCUCUUCCAGAGCCUCCCGGAUACGGUUAACCCCUGUCAAGCAAGGGGCUUUUUGAGCUCAGAGGCACAGGCGCUCGGCUGGGACGUGAGGAAUUCAUGGGCCCUGCUGGCAGAUACUGUGUGCGUGUGUGAGUGUAGAUAGAGGGUGUUGAGAACACAGAGCUGAAAUGUGGACUCAUUCAAGUUACCAUGGAGAACUGCUCAGAAUUCAUUUUAUA
rnacentral:lncRNA from 1 species